UCUUUUUUCUUUUCUUUUUUUUCUUUUUAAGUAUUUUUUAUUAGGUAUUUUCCUCAUUUACAUUUCCAAUGCUAUCCCAAAAGUCCCCCAUACCCUCCCACACACUCCCCUACCCACCCACUCCCACUUUUUGGCCCUGGCGUUCCCCUGUACUGGGCACAUAAAGUUUGCAUGACCAAUGGGCCUCUCUUUCCAGUGAUGGCCGACUAGGCCAUCUUUUGAUACAUAUGCAGCUAGAGUCAAGAGCUCCGGGGUACUGGUUAGUUCAUAUUGUUGUUCCACCUAUAGGGUUGCAGAUCCCUUUAGCUCCUUGGGUACUUUCUCUAGCUCCUCCAUUGGGGGCCCUGUGAUCCAUCCAUUAGCUGACUGUGAGCAUCCACUUCUGUGUUUGCUAGGCCCCGGCAUAGUCUCACAAGAGACAGCUGGUCAAAAUGCAUCCACGGAAUAUCAGAGCAACUGCAGUUGGCAUUUAGUGAGUCCUUGCCACACUAGGCAGGGUGCCAAGUACUUCGCACAGAUUUUCUCAUUUAAUCUACCCAGCAGCCACUUGCUGGGAUAGCAUGCAGGAAAGCUAACGUGACACUCUCAAGACUGCCUCUUCCAGAAGACCUGCUUGCAAGGUCAUAUCUGGCUUGGCUGGAGUUUGGGACUGUGGUUUGUGGAGAGGGUGGGGACACUCUACCUCUAACAGAUCUUAUACAAAUUCUUCAGUUUAGUUUGUGCUAACAUUGGUGUUUCCUUAGAGUCUGGAGUCUAGGAACGUACGAGGCAGAUGGUGGUUGUGAUCAUUAAUAGUGACUGUCAACUUAACAGGAUCUAGCAUCGCCUAGGAGACAGGCCUCUGGGCAUGUCUUGUGACAAAACAUCUAGGUUAGGUAGGAAAUACCCCCUAAUUGCAGGACAAAUACAAGCAAGAAGGAGCUGAGCAGUGAAAAUCAUCUUUGCUUGCCAGCCACGGAUGCAAUGCGAUCAGCUAUCUCGGGAGCAGCACCUUCAACUGUGAGCCAAACAAGGCCUUCCUUUAGUUGCUUUUGUCAGGGCUUUAUAUCACAGCAACGGGGAAGUAACUAAGACAGAGACGGUGUGCAGGUGAUCAGCCCUGGACAAAAGCUGGGUGCUAAGUCUGAAAUGAGCUUGCCCGGAGGGCAGCUCUUCACCACGCUGCUGAAAUCCAGAUGAACUGAAUGCAUCCGGUAGAAGUGCUCUAAGAGAGACCUCUGGGGAGCCAAAGCUUGGGCCUCCUCAGGAUAGCACUGCCACCAUCUUUUGCCUAUAUUCAAUUUGCAUUGCACCCUUUUGAUGUAAUAAACCAUGGCCCGUGAAGAUGACCUUAUGCAGAGAGAAAUGAUGACCCUGGGAGAGUCUUGCGGAGUCCUGAUGGAGUGGGGUAUGAUGGGUACAGCUUCGAUCCCCAUUUCAAGGAUAUGCUUUGAGGAUAAAGAGGCUCACUUAAGUUCACACAGCUAGAGAAUCGAGUACUGAGGGGAGGCCCAGGCAUGUGGACUCCAGAAGCCAUGACCUCAAUCAACCUAAUGGCAUGUCUCUCUGCCAAAGGCUGUCACUUCUUCCAACAGAAGCCAGACUCCUGCACUAAAGAAAUUUAUUUUGCACACCUGCUGUACAAACAGUUUGAACAGAAACAGUUGUAACUUGGACUUGAUUUACGGUCCUGCUAAGCCCAGUAGCCCUGGGGGGUGAUGCUCUUUCUAGCUAAUGGUCCUGUCUGCUCUGGGUGUCGAUUAGGAGACAGGAGAUGAGAUCUAUGGCUAAGUGCAGGUAGCAGUCUCACUGAACAUCUCUCCAGACUCCUGUCUGCGAGGCCGGAACUACAUCCCUCCAAGAAGGAAAAGGCCAUUUCUUUGAAACAAAUAGACAAUAAAUUGCCUGCAUGUUCCCACUGUCGGUAUGAUGCCAAUUUAGGUGGCAGCUGACUCACGGUCAACAGGGUAUAAGGCCUAGCGUGAGUCCAGUUUCAGCCCCGACUUUCUGUAGUGGUGUUUGUGAGUUCCUCACAAAGCAUAAUCUCAAGAGAGUCCUGGGCUCAAACUCAGACUCCAUUUCAGUGAUGUUAGACACAUUUCUUUAUAUUGCUGAGUCUCAGUUUCGUCACCGGUACAACCUGCUCACCAGGAGUCUUAUAAGACGGAGAUGGUUGAUUUAAAAGCUUGACUAGAGACACUGACAAUGCCUGCUUCUCUUAUCACUGCAACAAAAGGCCCGACAGAAGCUACUGUGUGGCUGUUUCCUUUAGAGGGAGGAGCAAGCCUCAGGAGACUCAGACAACUAAGUAUUGGAGACUCAAGAAGGUCACAUGUUUACAAGACUUCUUAGUUAUGUAGCUAAGUAAACACUUGCUAUGAGAGAGGAGACUCCAGCAGAACUGCCUGGAAGUUAUGCAAGGAGGUCUACGGAUGUGAACUGUCACCCAUGACGCAGUGGGCAAGGUUUUGAUCACCCAUAUUAAGUAGCAACAGUGAACCCAUUGGUCACAAAGCUAGGUUUGGGUGAAACCAUCUUUGUUCUGUCACUAGUGCCCUCACUGCCUGGCAUGAACAGACAUUAGCUUAUUCCCUAUUAGGAAUAGUCACACAGCAGAGCCUGUGGCCAAACAGGGACCAGCAGAACCAAGGAUUAAGCAAAGAGGAGCAGAGAUGUGGUCCCUGUGAUGGGUGAUGUGAUGCGCAGCUGAGGCUGAUUCAUCUGAAAUGACACCUGCUCAAUUACCACAACUAAGGCAGUGGUGGCAGCAGGAAGGUGGUCUCCAGCCUCGGAGCAAGCAGCUCUUCAUCUUGAAGAGUGGGUGCAAACCUGACCUGCAUAUUCAGGGUUGUCCUUAUUUUUCCCCUUUUUCCAGAAGCCAUUGUUUGAGAUGGAUCAAGAGUCAGAGACAUAGGUCUCUGGGAGACAUGUAAGAACUACAGGGUACCAGGAAAUGGUAUGGUGACACCACUCUGUACGUCCAGAGCAAGUCUCACACAUGGGAAUACUGAAGCCCGAAUAAGACAACACACCCGCCCAAAGUUAGAGAGCUCUUAUUGGGUGAACUUGGGUCUUGAGCCUGACUCAGUUGCUUCCAAGUCUAGUUUCUUUCAGUUAUGCUGUACUAUGUCACAGGUGGCUGCCACAGGACCACAUCUGGCUCAGGUCUCUUUCCAGCUUUCGGAUACAACAGAAAACAAAAGAAAGAGAUCCAGGAACAGAAAGCCCUUCUCCCACAUGUCAGAAUGUUCCAGGCCUGGGAUAGACAGCUCUUCACUAGACCACAAGCCUAUGACUCUCAAUGUGCCAGAAAGCCCUUGGGGCUACCUCCUCUUAGAAGAUGAUAUAGGCCCAUCACCUACAGCUGAUGGCCCAGGUCUCUCCAGGUGGCCACCAAACACAAUAGCUGGACUAAGAGCCCAGUGUGGUGACACAUACCUGCAAUGGCAGCACUGAGAACAGCAAGUUUGAAGCCAGCCCAAGUGACACAAUGAGGCCCUGCCUCAGUCACCACUCAGUUGGGCCAGAACAGCCAUGAAUUCAGACAAGCAGACCUACCACACUGCUCAAGUGGUGGCUACGACUCCAGCCCAAGCUGUAGUCAUCUAGGGUGCACCUCCUUUGCCUCUGUGCUCGCUGCCUCCAAGGAUCUUGCUAGUACAAAGCCAAGACAGGCCAAAGAUCCAGAAGCAGGAGCCAUAGCUCCUCUGCCAUGUUCCCAUCUUUGCUUGUAAACAUCAGAAUGGGCCUCACUGUGUGACAUUUCAACCACGGAGAAGCGUAUGAAGGAGAAUGUGAACUUCAUCACUGAUCACCACCACACAGGGAAGAUGCGAUGAUAUGUGCAUGCUUGGUCCAUGGUGUGGCACUAUUAGAGGGUGUGUCCUUGCUGGAGAAGGGUUGUCACUGUGGACAUAGACUUUAAGACCCCAUCCUAGUUGCCUGGAAGCCAGUAUUCUGCUAGCAGCCUUCAGAUGAAGAUGUUGAACUCUCAGUUCCUCCUGCACCAUGCCUGCCUGGAUGCAGCCACAUUCCUGCCUUGAUGGUAAUGGACUGAACCUCUGAACCUGUAAACCAAUUCCAAUUAAAUGUUGGUCAUGGUAUCUGUUCACAGCAGUAAAAUCCAAACUAAGACAAAAGGGUGAUCUGAAUAUUUAGUAAAUAUGAUUUCCUAUCAGCUACCCUUCUCGCUGCUGUGGCCAAAAAUCUGGCAAGAGCAACUUGAGGGUGGAAGAACUCACCCUGGCUCACAGUUUCAGGAGACUUUCAGUCCAUCAGGAAGGGAAGGCAGGGUAGUAGGUAUGGUUCAGUUCAUACUGCUGAGAAUAUGAGGUGGAGUCAUGACAGCCAACC
rnacentral:lncRNA from 1 species